rnacentral:lncRNA from 1 species
GCCAGCUCCGGCUGGGACAAGGGCCUGAACAACUGGAAACCCUGAUUUCGUCUCCACCCUAGCCCCUUUCUUGGGCAACACCCCCUGCACCAUCAGAGUUGCCUUCUCUGAAUGACUCUGCCUGAGGGAAGUAACCCAGGCUGGGCAGGGAGGGGUUAACGGGGCUACCCGACUCCGCGUGAGAGCCAGGUAGCUCUCUGGCCCAGUGGAAAAAUGGCAUAUCUGGACUGUGGACCAAUCCCCAAGCCCGGCGUAGUGCCAGUCCAGUGAGGCCUCAAACCUGCCCUGUGACUUCGAGCAAGCUGAUGGCCUUUCCUGGGGCUCAUGUUCUCCAUCUGUCAAGACCCAUAACCGACUCUAACUGCUAGGGCAUUCGGAACUUGAAGUCCCAGAUCAGGAGAUGGGUUUACAAGACAUGCCGCUGAGGUAAGAGAAGCCUAACGUUCCCGUCUUUUGGGCAGAAUCCCACAGCCUCGGGACCCCGUCUGCUUUGUCUGCUGGGACUGGGGUCCUGCCUCAUGGGGUGCCUACACCCUGGGGUCCUGCCUC